CGGUUUUGGUUCUUAUGAACGUUG
rnacentral:miRNA from 1 species